CUAGUUAUGUGAAACAAAGAGGGCGGAGCCAGGAUGCAGGGGGGCGGGGCGUCAGCAGCAGCAGCACCGCGGAAUGACGUCACACAGGUGUUUCUUCAAAGGGCUUAUCGCUGCUCUCAUCAGGUGGAUGUGAAGCCCCUGCUGUGAAGGGAUGCCAGUAUUUAUCACUCACUCACACACACACACACACACACACACACACAGGCGGCACGUGCUGCAGCGUUGAAUGUCGGGUUUGUGGAGCUUUGAACCUGAAACACGUGAGGUUUGGACGUGAUGGGAAUUAUCGUUCACUUGGAUUUUAGCAGAACCUGCAGCCUCUGGACUUUAUCAUCUUCAUCACAUCAGAAAACUUUCACUUUGUUUUGAAAAACAGACUUUUGAUCUCAAACCUGCUUAGAUAAAGUUAUUAUUAUUAUUAUUAGGGAGAAUAGAAGGACAAACUCAAACUCUGGAUGUGUGCAGGAUAAACCCCAGAGAAAUGAGAGUUCAGACCCGACCCACUGGGCCAGUGGUUCUUGGGAACCAGCAGAACCAGUUUGGCUACUGGUUUCCCUCCCGCUGUAGAACAAAAGAGAGGAAUGACUGGAUCUGCAUUCAGUAUUCAGCAAUACAAGGCGUUCUAUUGUUCUGCAUUCUUCUCAAACCUGAUCUGAUUUUCUGGAAGCAUAAAAUACCUGAAGGUUUUCUGACCUGAUCAGCCGAGAUCAGAAACAACAGAGUCACCAGAAACAUCUGGAAACACAAACCUUUCAAACAUCC